rnacentral:lncRNA from 1 species
UCUUGGUUCUGGAGAAAGUGCAAGCCUUCUGUGAGGGGACCUCACCACCACCACCCACCCACCUCGAGGCUGGGGCCGGAACACGAGGUGUUGGUGUGUGUUCUGAACCCUUGAGGCGAGGUCCCGGCUCACCCACGUGCGGGGCACGGGCGCCUGGUCUGCUCCGAGGGCCGCAGCCACCCCAGCCCAGCAGGCAGGAGGCGCGGGUGUAGACACACCGGGGAGCGGUGGACAACUGAAAACCACGACACAGCAGAACCAGGAAGGAAGCCGGCACCUGCUGUCCAGCAGUUCUAGCCACAUCCGCUGGCCGCCUUCCUGCUCCUUGCUGGAUCUGAAAGGUGUGGGGGAUGGGAACAGGCAAAGCACCUCGCAGGUGUUGUCCCUGAACAAAAGAAGGCAUAGGCCCGAGUGGCAGAAACGAAGGGCGAAACCACAGCCAAAGCGGCUGGGUGUAAGCGGGGAGCCUGGCGCCAGAGAGGCGUUAGAGGAGCCACGGGCAGGCUCCAGGGCCCAGGCCAAGGCUCCACCAGCAGCGUGGGAGGAGCAGGUAGGGCCUGAGCUUGCUCGCAGGACGGUCUUGCUCUGAGCUCAGGAGGAAAGCAAGCGCAUCAGAGCUGCGCCUUCCUUCCAAGGCGACUGGCGAGGCCUGUCCACCGCUCAGGGAAGCAGGAGGAAGCGCCUGGUCUCUCUGGGGACACGGGGGUGUCGCAUCCCUGGGCCCACGCGUGAAUGGGCAGAGUCCAGCUCGGUGCCACCUUGAAGGCCAGGAGCCCCAAGCACAGAAACUAACGUAACGCUUCGCCUAAAGCA